rnacentral:rRNA from 1 species
AUUGAACGCUGGCGGCAGGCCUAACACAUGCAAGUCGAACGAGUGGCGGACGGGUGAGUAAUGUCUGGGAAACUGCCCGAUGGAGGGGGAUAACUACUGGAAACGGUAGCUAAACCCGCAUACCAUCGGAUGUGCCCAGAUGGGAUUAGCUGGUAGGUGGGGUAACGGCAAACAUAGGCGACGAUCCCUAGCUGGUCUGAGAGGACGACCGGCCACACUGGAACUGAGACACGGCCCAGACUCCUACGGGAGGCAGCAGAGGGGAAUUUUGGACAAUGGGGGAAACCCUGAUCCAGACAGCCCGCGUGGGGGAUGAAGUCCUGCGGGUUGUAAAGCACUUUGUGCAGGAAAGCGGUACCUGCAGAAUAAGCACCGGCUAACUACGUGCCAGCAGCCGCGGUAAUAC